AUGGGCUCUUCCCUCGGGGCAGAGGGCAGAGCCGUGCUGGGCCGCCUGGCCCUCCUCUGGGCCCUCGUGGUUCCAGGUAUCCAGCAGGAGAUCAGGCUGUCACAGCGGUCCGUGAUGGUGGGGUCCGCGGGUGGAGCUAUGACUAUGCCUUGCCAUGUCAGUAGGUCUGUGGAUUACGUCCACUGGUUCCGCCAGCUGGAGGGCCAGGCCCCUGAGAGGCUUCUCUAUCUAGCCUUGUCCAAGCGGGAUGUGCAGUGGGAUUCGGUCCUAGGAGGUGAUAAAGUCAGCGCAGCCCGCGGCGGGGAUGGCAAGAGCUGCACCAUGUCCUUGAGGAAGCUGGCGAAGAGCGACGAGGGACUGUACUACUGUGCUGCCUGGGAUCCGCACAGCAGUGUUGAAUCACUGUGGAAUUUAAACAACAUGAUCUUUGGUGGAGGAACAAAAGUUUUCGUCCAAGAUAAAAACCUUCCUACAGAUAUCGUCCCCAAACCCACAAUUUUUCUUCCUUCAAUUAAUGAGGUCAACCAUCAACAGACUGCAACAUAUCUUUGUCUCCUGGAAAAUUUUUUCCCUGACGUUAUUAAGGUUUCUUGGAAAGAGAAGAAUGGCAACAGAGUUCUGCCAUCCCAGCAGGGAAAUACCAUGAAGACCAAUAACACAUACAUGAAGUUCAGCUGGCUGACAGUGACAGAAAACUCCAUGAAGAAAGAGCACAUGUGUAUCGUCAGACUUGAGAAAAAUGCAGGAGGAAAAGAUCAAGAGAUUCUUUUUCCUGCAGUGAAUGAAGUUUUCAGCCCAGUUGUCGCUACUACUGAGCCUCCAGAUGAUUGUUUGCAAGAUGAAAGUGAAGUCACUGAUACUGAUUUUACAAAAGUUUGUUCAAGAGGUGAAAGUGAAGUCAUCAAUUCUACAAAAGCAUGUCUGAAAGAUGAAAACAAUACCGUGGAGCUGCAGUUGACGUCCAACUCUGCUUACUACACCUACCUCCUCCUGCUCCUCAAGAGUGCCGUCUACUUUGUCACCACCUCCUGCUGUGUUUUUAGUAGAACAGGCGUCUGCCGUGAUGGGAAGAGCUCGUGA